UACGUAGGGAGCUAGCGUUGUCCGGAAUCAUUGGGCGUAAAGCGCGCGUAGGUGGCCUCAUAAGUCCGCUGUGAAAGUCAAAGGCUCAACCUUUGAAAGCCGGUGGAUACUGUGAGGCUAGAGUACGGAAGAGGCGAGUGGAAUUCCUGGUGUAGCGGUGGAAUGCGCAGAUAUCAGGAGGAACACCAAUAGCGAAGGCAGCUCGCUGGGACGUUACUGACGCUGAGGCGCGAAAGCGUGGGGAGCAAACGGG
rnacentral:rRNA from 1 species